rnacentral:rRNA from 1 species
UACGUAGGGUGCGAGCGUUGUCCGGAUUUAUUGGGCGUAAAGGGCUCGUAGGCGGCUUGUCGCGUCGGGAGUGAAAGCCCGCUGCUUAACGGCGGGUUUGCUUUCGGUACGGGCUGGCUGGAGUGCGGCAGGGGAGACUGGAAUUCCUGGUGUAGCGGUGGAAUGCGCAGAUAUCAGGAGGAACACCGAUGGCGAAGGCAGGUCUCUGGGCCACUACUGACGCUGAGAAGCGAAAGCGUGGGGAGCGAACAGG